CCUUCACCUGAUUUGGGCCAGCCUUUUUACUACCUAUUUCUUUCUUUCAUCGCUCCAGAGACGCCUCCCCCUUCCUCUUCCAUCCUCAUCCCCCUUCCUCCCUCUUCAUCCCACUCCGGCAAGAGACCGCCGCCCUGGUGGUCAGAGCCUCCUCGUCGUCGUCGUCUAGGGUUCCAUCAAGAACGGGGUCGUCUAGGCUUCGUCAAGCUCGGGUCAUUUAGGGUUCCGUCAAGGUCCGCGCGCCUAGGGUUCCGUCAAGCCCCGUCAAGUUCGGCAUCUUCAAGGUAAUGCCCCCAAUUCCCCCCGAUGUGUUCUUUGUCACGCUGGUUCGUGUUCUCUGUGUGUGGUAUCGCCAGAUUGAGGCGAUUGUUGUCCCGUUUGUGUCGGACCAGCGUUUCUAGGGUUUGUAGGAGGUUUUGGUGGCAGCAGUGGAUCGAUUUUUUCGUUCUGAUUUGGGUGAAUCUGAAGCUAGACAAGAGGGUUGCCUUCAGAAUUUGGAUUCAGGGUAUGAAUGCAGCAUAGUGAUGGUAGGAGGGUGUCUGUUCAUGUGCUUGGGGAGUGGAGAAGGUGGCCGAGAAAGGUGUCGCUGCCUGAGAGAAAUCUGCGGUUCCAAAGACAUCUGAAGUCUCUGAGAUGGUGUCCGGCAAAGCCUACUGUAUCUGGUGUUACUGCUUUUUAUUUUUCUGUCAUCGUUCCUGCCGAAUAAGUGCUCUAGAUGGUCUGCUGCGUCUGCCAUAGUGAGCAAAAGAGUCUAUCUAGGUUGGUAGUAACUAUUCAUGUCUGUCGUCAAUGCUCUUGUGGGGAGGAUGAUAUUGCAAUUUCUAUGUUCAAUCAAAUGUUCGAGUUCUCUGUUAAUCUUGUCCAUGUAUUGUCAGUCUUCUGCAUACAUUGUACUGAAUAAUAUUGUCCAGAGGAGAAGCCAAAGAAAAUUGUACUGUGGUCAAUUUUCCCUGAAUUAGUUGGUUUAUGCUGGUUUAUGUGCCAUGUCAGAGUAGCUCUGCUGAAUUGAGUUUACCACUUUCUGUCUUUCUUUCUGACACGCUGGCAUCUUCCCUACGUCUUCUACACGUGCCUAGAACUAUCACGGAAUUGAACAUACAUGGAACACUAGAUAACUGGACUAGAACCCACUUGUUAGGAUGUAUUUUGUCGAGAAGCAAGCACCUAUCAAUUUUUUAACCAGCAUGUGAAUUGUUUUAUCUUGUUAUGUAAGAGUUGUGUGUAAUGUCUAGUACUGACAGUUUCUAUCUUGUUCAUGACUUCGAGGGACUUCAAGAAGAUGUUUCAACCAAGAAGAGGAAAAAGCGCGGUUAGUUAUGUGCAGAACGGAAACACUUCCAGCUUCUAAAAUGGAAGUCUGUCCAAUUGCCCCAUGAAUGCAGCAGAAGUACUUAUAAAGUCAGCUAUCUCAUAUUUGAAAAACUUUUAAGUACCCCCUCUUUUCUCUUGUGUGGAAAUCAGUCUUCCCAAGUCCGCCCCGAAAACUACAAUUAUUAUGAGGAGAAUUUUCCGAACAAUUUAAUAUUUUUCUCUCGGUUUGUACUAAAUGUUUUCCCCAACAGUUUAAUACAUUUCUUGGAAUCGUAUCACCAGUAGUUUUCUGUAUUACUAUAUGAUUUUUGAGCAGCACCUCUUCUUUUAUAUAUGUGUUUGUUGCACAUAAUUGUUUUCAAUUUUUAUGAUAACUGGAUCAAACAUAGGUUUACAGGAGUUAACACAUUGUGAUGAAUAAAACAACAUUGAUGCAUAGUUUUACAAGAUACAAUUUUUGGUCUUCCUUAGGACCUCGUUCCUAGGAAACACUGAACAAACUUUCGACUCAACGGAACAUUAGUUUUCCCAAAUAACUUUUUAACAUUUUAUGAAAACAUUUCUUUAAUAUACAUUUAAGUAGCGUUUUUCUCAUUUUUCUUAUUGUACUUCCAUUUUUUUGGGGAAUAUAUAUCAACAGCAUGACUCUCAUGAAAACUUCAGUCUGUUUGUAAUAGAAGAAUUCUUAGGGGAUCUCAUAAUGUCAUUAUGCACUUGCUCGGGUUAUUUAUUGGGAAAUCUGUUUUUGGACCCACAUAAUGUUUUUUUCUCAUAAAAGCGCACACACGGGUUAUGACUAUAGUUUGUUUGGACUAGAACAUUUUUUUCGCUCCUUCCUAGCAAUGUUUUUUUUGGUCAAAACCGUUCGUAUCUAACAAAUUAGAAAUCAUGGACUCGAGCGAAGGAUACAAAUGGACAUAUAUCUAACAUGGGGCCAAUCUUGCCAUUCAUCUUCCCUAUUCCUAGUGAACAUUUUUUUACAGAACAAUUUUUUCAAGUAUCAUUUAAUUGUUGAUGCCAAGCAACAUUUUUUUAGAGAACAUUUUUCAGUAUAUCAUUAUUUUAGAGAACACUAUUCAAGAAACAUUUUUUUCAAGUCCCAUUUUAAUUGUUGAUGCCGAUGAAAAAUUAUAUGACUUGAAGAACAUUUUUAUACUUCCGAGAACAUUAUUUAAUACUAGUUUCCCCCAAUAAUGUUAUUUAAAAUGAACAUUAUUCAGUUAUCAUCGGAGCAAUACUUGUUCCCCCAAUAAUGUCCCUUGAAGAAUGUCCCUUAAAUAUUGUUCCCCAGUUAAAUAUUCAUUUUUUUAUUAACCAGGGAACAUUUUCCAAGGAACAUUAUUUAAAAAACAUUUUUUGGCAACAUUAUUUUAGAUAUCAGUAUUUUAGAGGGCAUUUUUCUAGGAUUUUUUUAGGUGUAUGAUUACUUCAUGAUGUCAACAUUUUUCUAGGAUUUCUUUUAAUUAUUGAGGGAACAUAUUCAAAUAACAUUUAUUUUUUUAGACUUUAGGGAAGAUUUUCCAAGAGAAAUUUCUUGGCACCAGCAAACAUUUCCUGACAAGCAUUAUUUAGGGAACAUUUUUCUGUUUUUCAUUAUUUUAGAGAACAUUAUUUUGGGGAACAUUUUUUCCAUGUCCCAUUUUAUUGUUGAUGCCGAGGAAACAUUAUUUGUCUUGAAGAACAUGUUUUUACUUAAGAGAACAAUAUUUAAUUUUGAAAAACAAAUUUUUUAUUUUUUUGCUAAAGAAUGUCCCUUUAAUAAUGUGCCCUAGUCAAAUGUUCAUUUUUUUAUUAAUCAGGGAAUUAUAGUUCCCCUAUAAUGUUCCCUGAUUAAUGUUCCUUUAAUAAUGUUCCCCAAAUAAUGUUCAACUUUUUUGUUCCCCCAAUAAUGUUCCCUAAAUAAUGUUUCUUUAAUAGUGUUGUCCAAAUAAUGUUCCCUCAAUAUUUGUUGAUGCCGAGGAAAUAUUAUUUGACUCGAAGAACAUUUUUAAACUUCAGAGAACAUUUUUUUUAAAACAUGUAGUGAUUUUUUUAGAACAUUAUUUCUUUCUUUUCCUUUAAUAAUGUUCCCCAAAUAAAUGUUCAAUUUAUUUUGUUCCCCCAAUAAUGUUCCCUGAAUAAUGUUUCUUUAAUAAUGAUCCCCAAAUAAUUGUUGAUGCCGAGGAAAUUAUUUGACUUGAAGAACAUUUUUAAACUUCAGAGAGUAUUUUUUAUUUUGAUAAACAUUUAAUGUUUUUCGGAACAUUAUUGAGGGAACAUUAUUCAAGGAACAUUGUUAUAUUCAGAAUGUUGUAAACAUUUUUCUUCAACGACACUAGUAAUUCAAGAACCCCAAAAGGCUGGUAAGCAGGUCAUCUUUUGAGAUGGAAUAGAGAAUGAUUUCUACCAAACAUUGGUUGGACUUCUUCCCAAAUUAACUUACAGCCAAAUGAUAUUUGAGAUUGAAGGAGUUUGGGUGGAUCAGAAAACUAUAACUCUAUCAUUCAAGCCUGGUGGUUGGAUAAACCCUCGGGUUAUUGGCUGUUUUUCAAAACUAAAGAACAAAGGCCAGCUGGACCGAGGAAGAAAAGGCCUCCUACGAAACAGCGAAAUAGUGGAGCACAUAGUUAGCAUUGACGACAUGGAGAAGCUAAUGAACCCAAUGCUAAAUCAUUCAGAUCCUGCAAACCAACUAAUCUUACAGGAAAGUAAUGUUGGCUUCAGUUUAUUGAAUGCUUCCUUGGUAAAAAUGCCCGUAUUCAAGGAAAAACAAUGGAUUUUAAUCAUUGCUAAUUUCAUAGUCAAAUUUUUUGAUAUCAUGAACCCGUACUACAGUGGCGAUACAUUUCUACCAACAAUUAGUGCUGUUAUCUACAACUUCAAGGUUUUGUUUGCUGCUACAUACGGAAAUUCUAGUUCUUUCAACAUAGGAAAUUUUGAAUCAAGAUUUGUACCAGCUCCCAAGGUCAAUUUCAGGUGUGUUUUCCAUAGAACUCUCCCCUUUUACAAGAUUUGUACAAGCCACCAACAACUUUUUGGUUCUUUCUCCUAAAAAGGCAGAUUAAAAGUAUUUUAAUUCACAAUAAUUUCCAUCCUAAGUAUGGAACUGAUUGUGCUAUUAUUUUUGUUUCACAAGUAUGACUCAAGAAUUUUCCUUCUUCAGUAUGUUAGCAAGUACAAAGGUCUCGAUUUGGAGGGGUUCUCUAAUGUAAGCGAUAGACAUAUGUUUCCUUUUUUGGUCAUUAAUUGGAACAUAUUAGGAAUUAAAUAACACUUUUUCUAAAAUACUGUAUGAUGAUUUACAAGCUCUACGUCAAAAAUUCCUUUUUGAGAUUGUAACUUGCAAGGACAAGGAAAUUCAGCUGCCGUUAGUAACUUCUUUCCUGCAGAGACAUGUAAGUUCUCUAUUUAUUUGUCUCCCAAUGACAGAAAAGAGAUGUUAUUUUCUUAGAGCCUGUUCUUUCAUACCGAACAGUGAAAUUAUUUUCUUCUAAUCCCGUAUAUGUUUCAACAGGAUUUCCACAUAUUCAAGUGAAGCUUUGAAGGCCAAUCUUUACUCGUUCUGCAUAUGACAAUAACCUCAGGCUCUCAUUAAUACUGUCACCUUCAAGGGAAGUUGCACUACAAGAUUCAACUCAAAGGAAUACUUCCAUGGGAAAAAUGUUUCCUUAACGAUAGAGCUAUCUUUUUUUCCUCUUGCUGGUCUAGUGAUAGUUUCUUUGCAAGACCUUCAACUAUAAACAAUGUCCGGAAACAGCUGAAACGGUUUUGUAAACGAGCAACCGAUUUCUUUGGGAAACAUAUUUCCCUUUUUUAUUCUCAAGGGUCCCAACGCAAGAUUUUUUUUCAA